rnacentral:misc_RNA from 1 species
GAAAUGCAAUACGUAAUGUAAAUUGCAGAAAUCAGUGAAUCAUCAAAUCUUUGAACGCACAUUGCACCAGAAGUCUUCCUUCUGGUACAUUUGUCUGAGUGUCCUUAUUCUUUUUGAUCUUAUGAUUCUUUAUUUGAAUCAUUCGAUGUUGAUGUGCAUACUUCGGAAUGUACAUUUAAAGAUAUUCUAUUCGAUGAUAUUGUUUUUAUUCUUGGUGAAUUUUUUUUUAUUUAAUUUUUUACUUGAUAUUAUCGAUUGUAAAAAGGAUUAUAUAUUCAUAUCUACAAAGACCUCAGAUCAAAUGGCAUUACCCGCUGAAGUUAAGC